GACGAACGCUGGCGGCGUGCUUAACACAUGCAAGUGGAGCGACGAACCAGGCUUCGGCCUGGGGCAGAGCCGCGAACGGGUGAGUAACACGUGGGUAACCUGCCUCGAUGAUCGGGACAACCCGGGGAAACCCGGGCUAAUACCGAAUGUGCUGUCCUCGCUCAAGCGAGGAUUGGAAAGGAAGCUUCGGCCUCCGCAUCGAGAUGGGCCCGCGGCCCAUUAGCUUGUUGGUGAGGUAACGGCUCACCAAGGCUGCGAUGGGUAGCUGGUCUGAGAGGACGAUCAGCCACACUGGGACUGAGACACGGCCCAGACUCCUACGGGAGGCAGCAGUGGGGAAUCUUGCGCAAUGCGCGAAAGCGUGACGCAGCAACGCCGCGUGGGGGAAGACGGCCUUCGGGUUGUAAACCCCUUUCAGGAGGGACGAAGCCCGGGCGGUUAAUAGCUGACCCGGGUGACGGUACCUCCAGAAGAAGCCCCGGCUAACUACGUGCCAGCAGCCGCGGUAAAAC
rnacentral:rRNA from 1 species